ensembl:snRNA U2 U2 spliceosomal RNA
AUCACUUCUUGGCCUUUUGGCUAAGAUCAAGUGUAGUAUCUGUUCUGGUCAGUUUAAAAUUUCAAAGGACACAGAUAGCCAUUGAAAUGUAAUGGGAUUGUAGAAAGUGCAUGGGGUGUUUUAGUUAACUCCUUAGGAUCUGGCUUAGACUUGUUACAGCUAAGGUCCAAUAGUG